CCUCUUGGAAGCGGCUGUCCGCUGGCCUAUAUUCGGCAGGUCCGGGUUCGCCCGGACUAUGGCGAUAAACGCGCCUGUAAUAAGCGGACCGGACCCGGGUGCGAUUCCCGGCGGCUCCACCAUUUCCUCCCGUGUAUCGGCGGGCGGUGCGGGGCCGACUAGCAUCGACGGACGUGUAAAGAGGAUUGCUU
rnacentral:tmRNA from 1 species